UCAAACUUGGUCAUUUAGAGGAAGUAAAAGUCGUAACAAGGUAACCGUAGGUGAACCUGCGGUUGGAUCAUUACAAAGUUUUUGAUUCAUUCUCAAUUGGACUUGCUUCAAUUUUGAUGAAUCUUUAACCCCUUGUGCAAUUGUAACUUAAAUCUGGGUGUUCUUGUUUUCAGAUGUCAAAGUUUGAAAUACCACCCGAACUAUUAUAAACCCUUUAUAUUAUUGUCUGAUAUUAUUCUAAAAAAAUAAUUAAAAACAACUUUUGACAACGGAUCUCUUGGCUCUCGCAUCGAUGAAGAACGCAGC
rnacentral:misc_RNA from 1 species